GUGCCAGCCGCCGCGGUAAUACGGAGGGUGCAAGCGUUAAUCGGAAUUACUGGGCGUAAAGCGCACGCAGGCGGUCUGUUAAGUCAGAUGUGAAAUCCCCGGGCUCAACCUGGGAACUGCAUCUGAUACUGGCAGGCUUGAGUCUCGUAGAGGGGGGUAGAAUUCCAGGUGUAGCGGUGAAAUGCGUAGAGAUCUGGAGGAAUACCGGUGGCGAAGGCGGCCCCCUGGACGAAGACUGACGCUCAGGUGCGAAAGCGUGGGGAGCAAACAGGAUUAGAUACCCUGGUAGUCCACGCCGUAAACGAUGUCGACUUGGAGGUUGUGCCCUUGAGGCGUGGCUUCCGGAGCUAACGCGUUAAGUCGACCGCCUGGGGAGUACGGCCGCAAAGGUUAAAACUCAAAUGAAUUGACGGGGCCCGCACAAGCGGUGGAGCAUGUGGUUUAAUUCGAUGCAACGCGAAGAACCUUACCUGGUCUUGACAUCCACGGAAGUUUUCAGAGAUGAGAAUGUGCCUUCGGGAACCGUGAGACAGGUG
rnacentral:rRNA from 1 species